UUGCAUUUUCUCUGAGACAGCUGCCAUUCUAGUCUCCCAGCCAUUCUUAGGAAGAGACGUGCCUGUCUCUGGGAAGAGGCAACUUCUCUGCAUGUCAGAGGAUGCUGGUCUUUCAAGUCCCUGCUGCUUUGGAAGAUCUCUGAGGCCUUCAACCACAUUCUUUGUAUUUAUGUCCUACUCUUCUACUUGUUCUCUGUGGAAGAGAGACAGAGGAAAAAAGCUACUGUAACCUUAUCCUAAGUGGAUGCCUAGGUGAACAUUUUGGAUGGUCACUUAACCUAAGUCUCAGUUUCCUCAUUAAUAAAAUGGGGGCACAUGAGACAUACCUCAUGAGGUUGUUUCGAGGCUUAAAUAUACGUUAAAUGUAUUUUGUGAGCCUAAAAGAUAUUUAAACACAAGCCGCUAUUACAUCUUUACAUGAUUGAAGUUCCUGAAGGAGACCUGUAGUGGGUGUCUAUACAGGGCAGUUGGUUCAUGUGGCCAGGUCUACUUGGG
rnacentral:lncRNA from 1 species